AACACUUCUGAAAGUCAGGGUCUGUGUCUCAAGUUGGGCACAUAAAAUUGUCACUCUUGAAAACGUUGGAUGUCAUGAAUAGAAAUGAGGUUUUUUUAGGUCUCCACAUCAACAUACAGCUGUCAGUUGCAAUCAGUAUUAUUAUUAUUAAUUUUUAUUACUUUAAACCACAUUAAUCUGAUUAUUCCUAAACAUGAAGCCCUUUCAUGACAGGUACUUAGUUGUUUUUCUUUGCCACAGAACAGCAAUUGAAGAAGGUUUCCUCACCAUCCAAAUAAGACAACAGUGUGGGAAAAGCUGGAAAAGAAAUCGAACCAGGGAGAUGCACGACAAUCUCCCGCAUGUCACCCCAAAAAAACUUUUUUUUUCUUGCCAUUUCCCUUUUUUCUUCAAUUGUUCAUUAUUCCAUGUUCAUUAACUUCUUAUAAAGCUUAAAAUAAAUGUUUUAGAUAAUU